CAGACCCUUAUAGUUGUAGCUGUUUGUCAUCUAGACGGUUACAAUUGUCAAAACACACUAUUCUAAACCCCUUUGACCGGGUGUUGCUCAAUCACGCUAAUAUUAAAAAAGGCAACAUUUUCACCUUCUUCUCCCUCCAAUUCCACUGCAAUCAUUAAAACCUGACUACCGAACAACCACAGGAGAGAUACUAUCAGAUUUGUGAAUAUCCACCACAAUUUUGAAAGUGGAAGAGGAAAUAGCAAUCACUUCAAAACCCAAUAAUUUUCACAAACCAAGCAAUUGAUUUGUGCACCCCACACGCCAUUCAGCAAGGUGAUGUGGAAGAAAGAAUUGUGGUGGUCUCCAUCGCCGGUGAUGGUUCAAACUUUUCUGCUAUGUUCUUUGCAAUUGAUGGUUCAAAGAUUUCAACGAUGAGUUUUUGAUAGGUUCCGAUGAAAUUCCUAUUCUUCUCGAUGAAUAUUUGGACGAAGUUCCUGUUGAGAACUUAUUAUUAUUCUAAGGAUUUUGCCGAAUGAAAUUCUGAUGAUUGUCUAUCUUUAAUUAUGAUGAAAGGAAGAAGCUAUUGCAGCAACAGAAAA